UGGUAGUCCUAGGUGGAUGAAGGAAUCGCAUUAUAAGUCCCACACAGGCAGAAACAGCAGCAGUCCAUCGACAAAUGUCGAUACGCUAGUGGUCCUAAGAGUGUUGACCGGAAGCACAGCGGAACAGAUUCUUACAUGGAGUGAAGACGGAAGGGCACGCUGCAGUGAUUGGCUUCCCUGCACGACGCAUUCCAGAGUACGCAAGAAAGUGAUAAGGGAACAUCAAGCCGAAUCUCUAAGGGUCAAGGUGCACUACGGCUGCAGGGACAUCUGAAGUAGCACCGAUCUCAAAGGCAUGUGCUGGACGUGGAAGGCCAUCCACCAUCGUACAGCGAGUGCACCAGGCGCGAUCGAAGGUUCAGAAGCUGCAACGAUAGC